UACGUAGGGGGCAAGCGUUAUCCGGAUUUACUGGGUGUAAAGGGAGCGCAGGCGGCGUGGCAAGUCAGAUGUGAAAACCCGGGGCCCAACCCCGGGAGUGCAUUUGAAACUGUGUGACUGGAGUGCAGGAGAGGUAAGCGGAAUUCCUGGUGUAGCGGUGAAAUGCGUAGAUAUCAGGAGGAACACCAGUGGCGAAGGCGGCUUACUGGACUGUAACUGACGUUGAGGCUCGAAAGCGUGGGGAGCAAACAGG
rnacentral:rRNA from 1 species